CCGGCCUGAGAGGGCGACCGGCCACACUGGGACUGAGACACGGCCCAGACUCCUACGGGAGGCAGCAGUGGGGAAUAUUGGGCAAUGGAGGAAACUCUGACCCAGCGACGCCGCGUGCGGGAUGAAGGCCUUCGGGUUGUAAACCGCUUUCAGCAGGGAAGAAGCGAAAGUGACGGUACCUGCAGAAGAAGCACCGGCUAACUAUGUGCCAGCAGCCGCGGUAAUACAUAGGGUGCAAGCGUUGUCCGGAAUUAUUGGGCGUAAAGAGCUCGUAGGUGGUUCGUCACGUCGGAUGUGAAAANCUGGGGCUUAACCCCAGACCUGCAUUCGAUACGGGCGAACUAGAGUGUGGUAGGGGAGACU
rnacentral:rRNA from 1 species